rnacentral:rRNA from 1 species
AAAACAUAACCUUUAGCUAAACAAAUAUUAAAGGCAACGCCUGCCCAGUGAACAAUUAAACGGCCGCGGUACCCUAACCGUGCAAAGGUAGCGUAAUCAUUUGUCUAUUAAUUGUAGACCAGUAUGAAAGGCAAAAUGAGGGUCCACCUGUCUCUUACAAUAAAUCAAUUAAACUGAUCUCCUAGUAAAAAAGCUAGAAUAUAUACAUAAGACCAGAAGACCCUGUGAAGCUUAAAUCAAACUAUUAAAUCUCCUAAUACCUACUUUCGGUUGGGGCGACCUUGGAAAAAAAAAGAACUUCCAAACAAUAUGACCAUACUCAUACACAGGCCCACAAGCCUUAUACGACCCAGUACAGCUGAUAAUUGAACCAAGUUACUCCAGGGAUAACAGCGCCAUCUUCUUCAAGAGUCCAUAUCAAAAAGAAGGUUUACGACCUCGAUGUUGGAUCAGGACAUCCUAAUGGUGCAGCCGCUAUUAAGGGUUCGUUUGUUCAACGAUUAACAGUCCUACGUGA